ACCACUCUUAUGGUAUCUCAUCUAACACAGAAACAGAGUCAAGGGCCAUUUUGGAUAGUAUCAAGAUAUGUAAACAGUUUAACCUAUCAAAUGUAAACAUUGAAUCAGAUUCCCUAGUGGCAACAGAGGCCAUUCUUAACCAUCAUAGCAUCCCCUGGAAGAUCUGGUAUAUUGUAGGCGAUAUCAAGAAGGAGCUUGAAAGCUUAAACUUCUCCACCUCACAUGUUUAUAGAGAGAGCAAUGUAGAGGUCGAUAGCCUAGCUCAUCUAUGAAGCAGUGGUGUGGUCGACUGAACAUACACAAGGAUCAGUGAUCUCCCUAUGGAAGUUAGGGGUCUCUUACCAAUGGAUGGCGCGGGGCUGGGCUGCAUUAGAAGCAAAGGCUAAUCCAAUUGGCAGGAAGCAUGUCUGUAAGGUCUGGGAAGUGGACAAUGCCCUCAGAUUCCGAUUAUCUCUCCUACCUUGCAUCUGAAUCCAUGGCUUAGCAAUUUUGGAUGCUUCUAGGUCUGAUCCGCUAAAUUUCUCUGUUUAAUCAUUGUACUCUGCUCCUGUUAUGCUAUGCGGGUGGUUGCUGUUGCUCUGCAUAUUUGCUUCAGACGCUGUAGCUGCUCCUGGUUUUGCCUUACCGCUGUCUUGAAGACUCUGCAAUUUUGUCUGUGCCUCUGCCUGCAAUUUUUGCAAAGCCAUUAUGUUGAUUGGGAAGGAGGGCAGUAAAGUCUAUUGGAAAGUCAAUCUACCACAGAAAUUUUUCAGAGGAAAAAGAUGGGGAGUUCUCUGUUGUUGGGUGACCGGAAGUAGGGGCUUGAGCUGGGAUGAAAUCCACUUGUCACAUAUCCUUUAGAUAUCUUGUGGCUAAGGCUGGCAGUUGAAACUCGAUCCAUAACGAUGUCUGAGGGUUGCACUGAACAUGCUAAGAGAUGGCAUUGCUUCCUUUUCAGUGGGUCUUGGACCUUCUCUUCUUGUAGUUGCACUGCAACUUACAUUUCUGUAAACUUUUGCAUUUUCAACUUGUUAGCUUAGCAUUUCAAAA